rnacentral:rRNA from 1 species
CAAGUCGAACGCGAAAGCCCCGCAAGGGGCAAGUAGAGUGGCAAACGGGUGAGUAACACGUGGGUGACCUGCCUUCGAGCGGGGGAUAACGUCCCGAAAGGGACGCUAAUACCGCAUAACAUCCUGCCUUUGAAGAGGUGGAGAUCAAAGCUGGGGAUCGCAAGACCCGGCACUUGAAGAGGGGCCCGCGUCUGAUUAGCUAGUUGGUGGGGUAACGGCCUACCAAGGCAACGAUCAGUAUCCGGCCUGAGAGGGCGGACGGACACACUGGGACUGAGACACGGCCCAGACUCCUACGGGAGGCAGCAGUGGGGAAUUGUUCGCAAUGGGCGCAAGCCUGACGACGCAACGCCGCGUGGAGGAUGAAGAUUUUCGGAUCGUAAACUCCUGUCGAAUGGGACGAACAGACUGCGGGUUAACAGCCCGUAGUCCUGACGGUACCGUUAAAGGAAACCCCGGCUAACUCCGUGCCAGCAGCCGCGGUAAUACGGGGGGGGUAAGCGUUGUUCGGAAUUACUGGGCGUAAAGGGCUCGUAGGCGGCCAACUAAGUCAUACGUGAAAUCCCUCAGCUUAACUGGGGAACUGCGUGUGAUACUGGAUGGCUUGGAUUUGGGAGAGGGAUGCGGAAUUCCAGGUGUAGCGGUGAAAUGCGUAGAUAUCUGGAGGAACACCGGUGGCGAAGGCGGCAUCCUGGACCAAUAUUGACGCUGAGGAGCGAAAGCCAGGGGAGCAAACGGGAUUAGAUACCCCGGUAGUCCUGGCCCUAAACGAUGAAUGCUUGGUGUAGCGGGUAUCGAUCCCUGCUGUGCCGAAGCUAAC